AGUCGUAACAAGGUUUCCGUAGGUGAACCUGCGGAAGGAUCAUUCACAAGAUUAUAUUUUAUAUUACUUUGUGGAACAUUUGGUUGAAUUUACAUGUUUUAUUACAAAAAAUUAAUUAUAAUUAAAAAAAUAAUUUUAAGAAAACCUCCAACAACGGAUCUCUUGGUUCCCAGAUCGAUGAAGAGCGCAGCGAAUUGCGAAAUGUGAUGUGUAUUGCAGUGAAUCAUCAAUUCUUGAACGCACAUGGCACCCCUUUUAGGGGUAUGCUUGUAUGAGGGUGUUUAAUAUGAAAUUGCUUUGGCUUUUUUUAAAUAAAUGGUUUUUCAAAUUGUUACUAAUAGACGAAAGAAUCAGUGCAACAAGCUGUGUUGAAUCUUUCAUUAAAUCUUUUAGUUAACUACUUUAACUAUUUGCACCUCAUAUCAAGCAAGACUACCCGCUGAACUUAAGCAUAUCAAUAAGCGGAGGA
rnacentral:misc_RNA from 1 species